rnacentral:tRNA from 1 species
GGGAAGGUAGCUCAGUGGUAGAGCGCUUGCCUUGCGGGCAUGAGGCCCUGGGUUCGAUUCCUCAGCACCA